rnacentral:rRNA from 1 species
CGGGACGGGUGAGUAACGCGUGGGUAACCUGCCUCAUACAGGGGGAUAACAGUUAGAAAUGACUGCUAAUACCGCAUAAGCGCACGAAGGCGCAUGCCUUUGUGUGAAAAACUCCGGUGGUAUGAGAUGGACCCGCGUUAGAUUAGCCAGUUGGCAGGGUAACGGCCUACCAAAGCGACGAUCUAUAGCCGGCCUGAGAGGGCGACCGGCCACAUUGGGACUGAGACACGGCCCAA